UAACUGCAAGAAUAUAAAAUUAGGUAAUUAGGUACGUAGUGAACGAUACAUUACACCAUCUUUCUGAAUUACUGUACUGGUAACCCUUAAAGAACAGCCUUGAUGUAGGUGACUGCAGCAAACAACAAUAGUUCACAUGCUUUCUUUGUUUUAGAUCUAAGAGAGUGGUCAUAUAAGCAUCAUCCUCAGUAGAUCUUUAUCAGGCAUGGAGAGGGACACUUCUAUGUGGUUCAGGAGGUCAUGAGAAGGAGGCAAGUCGUUUCCUCACCAUAACUGCAUCUUAUUAUAAAUGGAAUUGCACAGGGAGAAAAAAGUCCACCAGAUGAGCUAUAAUGCUCAGACAACUUGUGAAUAACAAGAGCCAAGGCAAGCUGCAAGUUUCUACGAGUGCACCUUCCGGGCACCUCCACUGUACAGUAGAGUUACAGUUGUCACUGUAGAAGGUGUAGUGCUGUAUAUCACGUCAGAUGUCAUCCUCCCCUUAAUUGUCAUGUUUGUGAGCCACACUGGAGUCUUCCAGGAUGCACCCUCCCAGUCUCAGCUGACACAAGACAGGUGAAGAUAUGCUGGGUUUUGCUGUAACCUCUACUUUUGGCUGAGGUACAUAGGGAUUUUUCUGACACCCUUUAUAUCUACAAUGACCAUCACUCCAGCUAUGUGGCAACAGAGAGUAUGGAAACCUUACAAUGGUUACUUCGCCAUGACAAGACCACUACAGCGGCAUCAUUGUGACCUGCAAUCCUCUGGCAUCCAGCACACACACACCACAACAGCAUUUAUGUGUAAGGAUGACAAACACCUGCCAUCCACCCCUCACGUGUAUGGGUGACCACCACCUGCCGUUCAAACACUCACGUGUAUGGGUGACCACCACCUGCCAUCCACCCCUCACGUGUAUGGGUGACCACCACCUGCCAUCCACCCCUCAAGUGUAUGGAUGACCACCACCUGCCAUCCACCCCUCAUGUGUACGGAUGACCACCAUCUGCCAUCGACCCCUCAUCAUCAACGCAGGUAUGUGAUGCAUCAAUAAGGUGUGGAAGAAGAUACCCUGAUAUCAAUCCAAAGGAUCUGUUUUUUGUGGUUUGUACGAUGCUUGUUGUUCAGUAUGGGGUGGCAUCUGGUGACUUGUGCGGAGGGGGAGGGAGA
rnacentral:lncRNA from 1 species